GCGGAUUUAGCUCAUUUGGUAGAGUAUCAGCUUCCCAAGCUGAGGGUGGCGGGUUCGAGCCCCGUAAUCCGCUCCA
rnacentral:tRNA from 1 species